AGAGUUUGAUCAUGGCUCAGGAUGAACGCUAGCUACAGGCUUAACACAUGCAAGUCGAGGGGAAACGACAUCGAAAGCUUGCUUUUGAUGGGCGUCGACCGGCGCACGGGCGAGUAACGCGUAUCCAACCUGCCCACCACUUGGGGAUAACCUUGCGAAAGUAAGACUAAUACCCAAUGACGUCUCUAGAAGACAUCUGAAAGAGAUUAAAGAUUUAUCGGUGAUGGAUGGGGAUGCGUCUGAUUAGCUUGUUGGCGGGUAACGGCCACCAAGGCGACGAUCAGUAGGGGUUCUGAGAGGAAGUCCCCCANAUUGGAACUGAGACACGGUCCAAACUCCUACGGGAGCA
rnacentral:rRNA from 1 species